rnacentral:rRNA from 1 species
CAGCACCUCAAGUGGUCAGGAUGAUUAUUGGGCCUAAAGCAUCCGUAGCCGGCGCUGUAAGUUUUCGGUUAAAUCUGUACGCUCAACGUACAGGCUGCCGGGAAUACUGCAGCGCUAGGGAGUGGGAGAGGUAGACGGUACUCGGUAGGAAGGGGUAAAAUCCUUUGAUCUAUUGAUGACCACCUGUGGCGAAGGCGGUCUACCAAAACACGUCCGACGGUGAGGGAUGAAAGCUGGGGGAGCAAACCGGAUUAGAUACCCGAGUAGUCC